rnacentral:rRNA from 1 species
UACGUAGGGACCAAGCGUUGUCCGGAAUCAUUGGGCGUAAAGAGCGUGUAGGCGGCUUGUUAAGUCUUGACGUGAAAUCUCGGGGCUCAACCCCGAGCGGUCGUGAGAAACUGGCAGGCUAGAGUGCGGGAGAGGAGAGUGGAAUUCCUGGUGUAGCGGUGAAAUGCGCAGAUAUCAGGAAGAACACCCGUGGCGAAGGCGCUCUCUGGAACGCAACUGACGCUGAGACGCGAAAGCGUGGGGAGCAAACAGG